rnacentral:rRNA from 1 species
CGUUAGCGGCGGACGGGUGAGUAACACGUGGGUAACCUACCUAUAAGGCUGGGACAACUUCGGGAAACCGGAGCUAAUACCGGAUAAGAUAUCGAACCGCAUGGUUCGAUAGUGAAAGAUGGUUUUGCUAUCACUUAUAGAUGGACCCGCGCCGUAUUAGCUAGUUGGUGAGGUAACGGCUCACCAAGGCAACGAUACGUAGCCGACCUGAGAGGGUGAUCGGCCACACUGGAACUGAGACACGGUCCAGACUCCUACGGGAGGCAGCAGUU